rnacentral:rRNA from 1 species
GUCGAGAAUAAUUCACAAUGGGGGAAACCCUGAUGGUGCAACGCCGCGUGGAGGAUGAAGGUCUUCGGAUUGUAAACUCCUGUCAUCUGGGAGUAAGACCUGACGGUGAAUAGCCGGCAGGGUUGAUAGUACCAGAAGAGGAAGGGACGGCUAACUUCGUGCCAGCAGCCGCGGUAAUACGAAGGUCCCAAGCGUUGUUCGGAAUCACUGGGCGUAAAGGGAGCGUAGGCGGCGUGGUAAGUCAGAUGUGAAAUCCCGGGGCUCAACCCCGGAACUGCAUCCGAUACUGCCAUGCUUGAGGGUUGGAGAGGUAGCUGGAAUUCUCGGUGUAGCAGUGAAAUGCGUGGAUAUCGAGAGGAACACUCGUGGCGAAGGCGAGUUACUGGACAGCAUCUGACGCUGAGGCACGAAGGCCAGGGGAGCGAAAGGGAUUAGAAACCCGAGUAGUCC